rnacentral:rRNA from 1 species
GGGGGUGGUAAGGGGUGCUAUAUAGGCGAUUGAUUUAGCGGCCCCGAAUUCGCCUUGUGCCAGCAGCCGCGGUAAUACGGAGGGGGCUAGCGUUGUUCGGAAUUACUGGGCGUAAAGCGCACAGUAGGCGGCUUUGUAAGUUAGAGGUGAAAGCCUGGAGCUUAACUCCAGAACUGCCUUUAAGACUGCAUCGCUUGAAUCCGGGAGAGGUGAGUGGAAUUCCGAGUGUAGAGGUGAAAUUCGUAGAUAUUCGGAAGAACACCAGUGGCGAAGGCGGCUCACUGGACCGGUAUUGACGCUGAGGUGCGAAAGCGGGGGGAGCAAACAGGAUUAGAUACCCUGGUAGUCCACGCCGUAAACGAUGAUAACUAGCUGUCCGGGGACUUGGUCUUUGGGUGGCGCAGAUAACGCAUUAAGUUAUCCGCCUGGGGAGUACGGCCCGCAAGGUUAAAACUCAAAUGAAUGACGGGGGCCUGCACAAGCGGGGGAGCAUGUGGUUUAAUUCGAAGCAACGGGCAGAACCUUUACCAGCGGUUUGACAUGUCCGGACGACUGGCAGAGAUGCCUUUUCGUCCCCUUCGGGAACUGGAACAACAGGUGCUGCAUGGCUUGUCGUCAAGCUCGGGUCGGGGAAAUGUGGUUAAGUCCACGCAACGAGCGACAACCCUCGACAUUUAGGUAACAAUCAUUGAGGUGGGAACCUCAAAGGAACCGCCGGGAGAUAAGCAGGAAGAAGGGAGGAUGACGUCAAGUCCUCAUGGCCCAUAACGGCGGGCUACAACAAGACUACAAUGCAGAGCAAGUGCACCAAUCCAGCAGGUGAGACUAUCUCGAAAGCAGUUGCAGGUCGAUGUACUCUGCCAGUCGAGACGAUGAGCGGUAUCCGAUGUCAUCGCAG